rnacentral:rRNA from 1 species
GCUUGUCUCAAAGAUUAAGCCAUGCAUGUCUCAGUAUAAGCUUUUACACGGCGAAACUGCGAAUGGCUCAUUAAAACAGUUAUCGUUUCUUUGGUGGUUAUUGAUUACAUGGAUAACCGUGGUAAUUCUAGAGCUAAUACAUGCGCCCAGACCCAACUUUUAGGAAGGGUUGUAUUUAUUAGAUACAAACCAACAUCGUGGUGAUUCAUAAUAACUUUGCGAAUCGUAUGCCUCACGGCGACGAUGAAUCAUUCAAAUUUCUGCCCUAUCAACUUGGCUACCACAUCCAAGGAAGGCAGCAGG